AGGACAGUAGUGUAAUUAGUACCACGGUGGGCUCCAACCCCAUUAAUCUUCGUGCAAGUCGAAGCUGGCCUGCCA
rnacentral:tRNA from 1 species